rnacentral:rRNA from 1 species
AUUCCAGCUCCAAUAGCGUAUACUAAAGUUGUUGCAGUUAAAAAGCUCGUAGUUGAAUUUCUGGUCUUGGACGGCGGUCUACCACAAUUGUGGUACGUACCAACUGUCCGAGUCCAUCCUCGGGGAAAACAUGCCUGUGAUUCAGUUCAUGGGUAUGGGAUCCUCGUCAUUUACUGUGAGCAAAUUAGAGUGCUCAAAGCAGGCUUUUACGCCUGAAUAUUCGUGCGUGGAAUAAUAGAAUAGGAAGUCGUUUCUAUUUUGUUGGUUUUCGGAAAUCGACUUAAUGAUUAAUAGGGACAGUCGGGGGCAUUUGUAUUCAAACGACAGAGGUGAAAUUCUUGGACCGUUUGAAGACAAACUACUGCGAAAGCAUUUGCCAAGAAUGUUUUCAUCA